rnacentral:rRNA from 1 species
AGAGUUUGAUCCUGGCUCAGGACGAACGCUGGCGGCAGGCUUAAUACAUGCAAGUCGAACGGAAAGGCCCUCUUCGGAGGGUACUCGAGUGGCGAACGGGUGAGUAACACGUGGGUAACCUGCCUUUGACUGGGGGACAACCGGAGGAAACUCCGGCUAAUACCGCAUAACGUGCACGAUCAUAAGGUCGAGUACCAAAGAUAGCUUCGGCUUUCGGUCAAAGAUGGGCCCGCGGCGGAUUAGCUUGUUGGUGGGGUAACGGCCUACCAAGGCGACGAUCCGUAGCUGGUCUGAGAGGACGAUCAGCCACACUGGAACUGAGACACGGUCCAGACUCCUACGGGUGGCAGCAGUCGAGAAUUUUUCUCAAUGGGCGAAAGCCUGAAGGAGCGACGCCGCGUGAAGGAUGAAGGUCUUCGGAUUGUAAACUUCUGUCAUUAGAGAACAAUGCGUGUGGGAGUAACUACCUGCACGUUGAUAGUACCUGAAGAGGAAGAGACGGCUAACUCUGUGCCAGCAGCCGCGGUAAUACAGAGGUCUCAAGCGUUGUUCGGAUUCAUUGGGCGUAAAGGGUGCGUAGGUGGCGAGGUAAGUCGGAUGUGAAAUCCUGGGGCUCAACCCUAGAACUGCAUUCGAUACUGCUUUGCUCGAGUACUGGAGAGGAGAUUGGAAUUUAUGGUGUAGCAGUGAAAUGCGUAGAUAUCAUAAGGAAGACCAGUGGCGAAGGCGGAUCUCUGGACAGUUACUGACACUGAGGCACGAAGGCCAGGGGAGCAAACGGGAUUAGAUACCCCUGUAGUCC